rnacentral:rRNA from 1 species
AAUCAACGCUGGCGGCGUGCCUAACACAUGCAAGUCGAACGCGAAAGUCCCGCAAGGGAUAAGUAGAGUGGCAAACGGGUGAGUAACACGUGGGUGACCUGCCUUCGAGUGGGGGAUAACGUCCCGAAAGGGACGCUAAUACCGCAUGACAUCCUGCUUUUGAACAGGUGGAGAUCAAAGCUGGGGAUCGCAAGACCUAGCGCUUGAAGAGGGGCCCGCGCCUGAUAGCUAGUUGGUGGGGUAACGGCUCACCAAGGCGACGAUCAGUAUCCGGCCUGAGAGGGCGGACGGACACACUGGGACUGAGACACGGCCCAGACUCCUACGGGAGGCAGCAGUGGGGAAUUGUUCGCAAUGGGCGCAAGCCUGACGACGCAACGCCGCGUGGAGGAU